ensembl:lncRNA
UGCACCUGUUUGCAAGAUUAGUACGCGUUGUUAAAAACAGUAAACAGGAGGCGCCUUCGUGCACAGCUGACGUGAGUGGGGGCUAAUUGGACGAAUCCGCAAUCCAGACUGAUGGGACGCCGCAACGGCCGACGGGGUUUACUUAGGCGCUGGAUUUCCCAGAGACGUGAGGAACGGAGGAAAUUAUGUUUACAGAGGGAGCGCGGUGCCCCUCGCUCAGAGGAACCAACAUUCCACCAGAGAGGCGGACGAAUGCAUACCAAGUAGGAAAUCGUUAUUUCUGCCUUUCACAAUGCGGGAAAUGAGGAGCAUGAAGCUUAUUCCUUGGUGGCAGAGACGGCUGCAGUCGAUGGUCAGACAUGGUUAAGCCCUCGUUUCGGCCAAUUUGGCACUCUGCUGGAGACCUGCAGACGUGGCCAAUCAGUGGCCGUAAUGGGAUCGCUAAUAAGCCUGAUUGUGCUCCGCUGUGCAGCUUUGAGACUGUAAUCAAUAUCUGAGCUGGCGUUGGAUUAUUGUUCUUGGUGUUUUCUGACUGCACGGAGCCGCUUUACUGUAACUGUUCACAUAUGCAGUUAAUCACUCAGGUGUUAUUACACAACUGACGUUGCAGCCAAAACAGUGUAACACAAAUGGACUUUCCUUUGCAUCUUCCUUCUUAAAUGCAGCAAUGUGUAUUCUGCACUUCAAGUGCGUUUUAAAAUUAAGCAGAAUGGGUCAUCGUGGACAGAAUCCGAGGCCCAGUUCCCUGUGUUUCCAUUAAAAAGUACCUAUGAA